CAGAGCUCGCGUUGUUGAUGGGGUUGGUUGGCUGUACGGCCGCCUCACUCCGCGCCUGCCCUGCUAGGCGCGGGGAGUCGAUUUGCACUGCUCCGGGUGUCGGCUCGGGCGGGACAGGCCGUUCUGGGUCCUCCUCUCCAGUUUCUUAGACAUUUCUGCAAGAGGAACAUGAAUGUGGAUCUCCAGGGAAUUGCAGCAUUAACCAGUAACGCCUUGGGCCUGGUGCAGUGGCCCACUGUAAUCCCAACACUUUGGGAGGCCAAGGCAAGCGGAUCGCAUGAGGAUCCUGAUUGAGUCAAUUCUUAACAUUAUCAGUCCUCUGCAUAAAGCUGAGAGAUGCCUCCCGCUGAGAGUGAAGCAAAAGUAAAAACCAAAGUUCGCUUUGAAGAAUUGCUUAAGACCCACAGUGAUCUAAUGCAUGAAAGGAAAAAACCAAAGAAAAAACUUGUCAGGUCUGGAGAAAACAUCUCGCCUGGCACUAUUAGAAGCAAUCUUCACUAUAUUAAAGAAACUACAAGUGAUGAUCCUGACACUAUUAGAAGCAAUCUUCACCAUAUUAAAGAAACUCCAAGUGAUGAUGUAAGUGCUAGUAACACUAACAACCUGAAGAAGAACAUGAGAGUCACUAAAAACAAGUUGAGGAAUACACAGUCAGCAACUGAAAAUCCUAAUGGUGAUGUUAGUGUAGAGGAAGACAGACAAGGAAAGCCAAAUAAAAAGGUGAUAAAGACGGGGCCCCAGUUCACUACACAAGACAUGAAACCAGAAACUCCUGAGAAGAGGGUUGAUUCUACAUACCAGAAAGCACAUACAAAGCCGCAACCAGGUGUUGAUCAUCAGAAAAAUGAGAAGGCAAAUGAGGAAAAAGAAAAGAAUGAUUUAGAAGAGGAUGAAGAACUCAUGCAAGCAUAUCAAUGCCAUGUAACUGAAGAAAUGGCAAAGGAGAUUAAGAAGAAAAUAAGAAAGAAACUGAAAGAACAGUUGACUUACUUUCCCUCAGAUACUUUACUCCACGAAGACAAAUUGAGCAGUGAAAAAGGAAAAAAGAAAAAUAAGAACGUUCCUAAAGCUGAAACAAGUACAUUGACCAUCUCUGGUGACACAGUUGAAGGUGAACAAAAGAAGGAGUCUCCAGUUAGACCAGUUACUUCAGAUUCUCAUCAAGAUGAUGAAAUAAGCUCAAAGGAACAAAACGCAGAAGAAAGCAUGGAAGAUAAUUCAAAACCCAAACCAAAAAAAACAAAAAAGAAGGCUAAAGCAGUUGCACAUGAUAACGAAGAUGUUCAUGGUGAUGGUGUUCACAAAAUCACAAGCCGAGAUAGCCCAGUUUAUCCCAAAUGUUUGCUUGAUGAUGACCUUGUCCUGGGAGUUUACAUUCAUCGAACUGAUAGACUUAAGUCAGAUUUUAUGAUUUCUCACCCAAUGGUAAAAAUUCAUGUGGUUGAUGAGCAUACUGGUCAAUAUGUCAAGAAAGACGAUAGGAAACGGCCUGUUUCAUCUUAUUAUGAAAAAGAGAAUGUGGAUUAUAUUCUUCCUAUUAUGUCCCAGCCAUAUGAUUUUAAACAGUUAAAAUCAAUACUUCCAGAGUGGGAAGAACAAAUUAUAUUUAAUGAAAAUUUUCCCUAUUUGCUUCGAAAUUCUGAUGAGAGUCCUAAAGUCAUCCUGUUCUUUGAGAUUCUUGAUUUCUUAAGCAUGGAUGAAAUUAAGAAUUCUGAGAUUAAAAACCAAGAAUGUGGCUUUCGGAAAAUUGCCUGGGCAUUUCUUAAGCUUCUGGGAGCCAAUGGAAAUGCAAACAUCAACUCAAAACUUCGCUUGCAGCUAUAUUGCCCACCUACCAAGCCUCGAUCCCAAUUAAGUGUUGUUGAGGUGUUUGAAUGGUGGUCAAAAUGUCCAAGAAAUCGUUACCCAUCAACACUGUAUGUAACUGUAAGAGGACUGAAAGUUCCAGACUGUAUAAAGCCGUCUUACCGUUCUAUGAUGGCUCUUCAGGAGGAAAAAGGUAAACUAGUGCAUUGUGAACGUCAUCAUGAGUCAAGUUCAGUAGACACAGAAACUGGAUUAGAAGAUUCAAAGGAAGUAAUAAAGUGGAAACGACUCCCUGGGCAGGCUUGCCGUAUCCCAAACAAACACCUCUUUUCACUAAAUGCAGGAGAACGAGGAUGUUUUUGUCUUGAUUUCUCCCACAAUGGAAGAAUACUAGCAGCAGCUUGUGCCAGCCGGGAUGGAUAUCCAAUUAUUUUAUAUGAAAUUCCUUCUGGACGUUUCAUGAGGGAAUUGUGUGGCCACCUCAACAUCAUUUAUGAUCUUUCCUGGUCAAAAGAUGAUCGCUAUAUCCUUACUUCAUCAUCUGAUGGUACUGCCAGGAUAUGGAAAAAUGAAAUAAAUAAUACAAAUACUUUCAAAGUUUUACCUCAUCCUUCUUUUGUUUACACGGCUAAAUUCCAUCCAGCUGUAAGAGAGCUAGUAGUUACAGGAUGCUAUGAUUCCAUGAUACGGAUAUGGAAAGUUGAGAUGAGAGAGGAUUCUGCCUUAUUGGUCCGACAAUUUGAUGUUCACAAAAGUUUUAUCAACUCACUUUGUUUUGAUACUGAAGGUCAUCAUAUGUAUUCAGGAGACUGCACAGGGGUGAUUGUUGUUUGGAAUACCUGUGUCAGGAUUAAUGAUUUGGAACAUUCAGUGCACCACUGGACUGUAGAUAAGGAAAUUAAAGAAACUGAGUUUAAGGGGGUUCCAAUUAGUUAUCUGGAGGUUCAUCCCAAUGGAAAACGUUUGUUAAUCCAUACCAAAGACAGUACUUUGAGAAUUAUGGAUCUUCGGAUAUUAGCAGCAAGGAAAUUUGUAGGAGCAGCAAAUUAUCGGGAGAAGAUUCAUAGUACUUUGACUCCAUGUGGGACUUUCCUGUUUGCUGGAAGUGAGGAUGGUAUAGUGUGUGUUUGGAACCCAGAAACAGGAGAACAAGUAGCCAUGUAUUCUGACCUGCCAUUCAAGUCACCUAUUCGAGACAUUUCUUAUCAUCCAUUUGAAAAUAUGGUUGCAUUCUGUGCGUUUGGGCAAAAUGAGCCAAUUCUUCUGUAUAUUUAUGAUUUCCACGUUGCCCAGCAGGAGGUUGAAAUGUGCAAACGCUACAACGGAAUAUUUCCAUUACCUGGAAUACACCAAAGUCAAGAUGCCCUAUGUACCUCUCCAAAACUAUCCCAUCAAGGCUCUUUUCAGAUUGGUGAAUAUGUCCACACUGAAAAUUCUUCAACAAAGAUGCAGCUAGUCAAACAGAAACUUGAAACUGUCACAGAGGUGAUACGAUCCUGUGCUACAAAAGUCAACACAAAUCUCUCAUUUACUUCACCACCAGCAGUUUCCUCACAACAGUCUAAGUUAAAGCAGUCAAACACGCUGACCACCCAAGAGAUUCUACAUCAGUUUGGUUUCACUCAGACCGGGGUUAUCAGCAUAGAAAGAAAGCCUUCUAACCAUCAGGUAGAUACAGCACCAACGUAUUGCGGAAGAGACAUUGGACAUCAGACUGAUAGUCAUUCUCUUCUUUACCCUUCAAGUUUUCUAAGGGCUGAAUGAAUUUUCGUCACAUGAUUUUUCAUCAGUAGUAAACUUUAAUAUGUUUUGGACUUAUUUUGUUAUUCUGAAAUAUUUCUGAGAUAUUUGUAAUGUUGUUUGCCCUUAACACUAAACUUAUUCGUAAAUAUACUGAUCUGAAUCAUACAAAUUAAAUUUUAUCCUGUCUCUUAGGUUAUAUGAUAUCUGUACUCACUCAACAACUGUUGGGUUGUUAUUGUUGUUAGAUUGUUAUCAUUGUUUAGCCCAUUCUCUAGAUUCACAAGAUUGCUACCUAUUGCACUGUUACACUUUUGCAUACUUUAUACAUAUACUACCUAGUGCACUGUUACACUUUUGCAUACUUUAUACAUAUAUUCAUGAAAUAUAUGGCUAUUUCAUAUUUUAACAUAAUAUUCGGGACAGCUUAUAUGUAGAUAUAUAUAUAUAUGAGUUCAAGUGAAAUGUCCAUUUUUCAAAGGAAGCACUUUAUUUUCUACAAUCUAUUGCAUUUUCCAAGAAUUCAUAGUAUGUAAACUGGGGUGAAUGGGUCCCUAUAAAACUCAUAAAAUAGAAUCCAUGGCCAGUCUCUUCCUGUAGGUAAUUGCAGGGUGGAGAGGGAAAUGAUAAACUAUAAGCUUUUAUAACUUGUCAUAAAAGAACUUGUUUUCACUUAUCAAUAAAGUAGCAAUUCAAAGCAGUUCUAUUGAAAUUCAAAUAUAAAUGCAAAAUAGGUUCUCUUUAACAACCACUUGUAGUUUUCCAUAAUAUAACAUUUUUUAAGUAUCUGCACAUCAGUUUAUUUCUCCAAACAUUAUAAAUUAUGAAAUUUGUGUUGAUUUUUUUCCUGUUGGCAUACUCCACUGGCAUUUGUGUUUUUCUUAGACUUUUUUUUCUCCAUUUCUCAUUUGGUUUUGUGAAACUUUUCUACCUGAAAAACUUAAAAUUCUGAAAAUGUUAUAUUACUGGAAGAUGUAAUAGCAGCAUAAAUUGAAUUUUCUAAAUAAUCAGGAAACAUUAAGUAUACAAUAUACAUAGGAUUGUACCAUACCAAGCACUGGGAGGUAUGGAAGUACUAUGGGAAAAGUAGAAAUAUCAAAAAAAAAAAGUAUAAAACAUGGUUUUAUAGGUCUUUAAAUAUAUAUUAUAUAUAUACCUAUAUAAUGUGUCUUUGAGUAGUUCUUGAUGUCAUUAGAAAAGUGACCUGUAAACAGCUAAAUCCUAAUAUAUGAAAUGAAUAAAAAAUUCAGAGCAGUAACAGAAGUAAUAUCAUGUCACCGAGGCAGUUUGUGCCCAAGUAUAGGAAUAUGGUGUAAGGCUUUCAGUGCUAUAGGAAUUCCCAGUACUGGAGUGGUUUGGGAAGGCUGUUUAGCAUUGAAAAGUGCUAAACCAGAUCUUGAAAGGAUGGAAUUUUUAAAAGAAUAGAAUAUGCUAGACCAGAGUAACCGUAUGACCAAAGAUCAUAGAAGAAGGACACACUGUAUACACACAGUUUAUAGAUGGGUAGACAGUUUGACUGCAGCAGAGUAAAUGAGAUAGUGGAAGAUUAGAAAAUGUGAUUUGGGCAUGACUUAUAAAGAUCCUUGAAUGUUAGAUUAACAGUUAAGACUAUCUGUAUAAGCAAUAGUAAGGCAUUUGAUCAUGAGAAUAAUAUGAACAAGGGAGUAAUGUUUUAAAAGGAUUAAAAUAAAAGCAGCUCAUGAAAUUGCUGGUGGUGGUGAUAGGAAGAUGGUAACUGAGCUGUGAAGCUACAGAAGUCUACGUUUGUGGUGACAAGGAUUUAAAUAAGGGGACUAAAAGAAUCAGUGUGGAAAUGGAAAUAGAGGUAUGCUUAUAAAAAAGACUUGGAGAUGAGAGCUGAUGAAAGGGACUCAAAGGAAAGUUGUAGUUCAAGAGGGAGAUCUCAUCAUUGGAAGGCCCAGGCCUAGGUUGUGGGAAGUCAUGUAUUAUCGCUGCAUGCAGGUUCUUCACAAUUGGUAUCCAAAGGCCCCAUCCAGGAAGGAGGUGCAGGUCCAGAGUCUUUAGAAAAAGCUGAGUCCGGAACCAUUCUCCUCCUACCCACCUCCCAAAUCUAUUCCACAGAGCUGUUUUUCCAAAGCACAAAUAUGAUCAUGUAUUUAAGAUCCUGUGAUGUACCCCAUCACCUACCAGAUGAAACUUUAGUUGUUUUGCAUAUCAUUUGAAACUCUUUUGCUACUUUUCUAAACUUAUCUCCAGUCUGUCCCCACUACUCACUCUGGCCACUCUGAGCUACUUGCAGUUCCUGAAUAUGGCUAUGAGAAGCAGUGUUAGAUAAAGAACACCUGACUCCAGAACCAAAUUACCUGGCAUUAAGUCCUGAUUCUUUGGCUGUGUUUGUCUUUAGUCACAUUUCUUUACCCCUUUGUGCUUCAGUUUGCUCAUCUGUAAAUGAUAAUACCUACCUCGUGGAUUGUUACGAGGAAUAAGCGAAUUAAUGCAAAUGGGACCUCACUUGAUAUAUUUCUGUACACCAGCUGCUGAAUAUUAUUUAAUAUUUCAGGCUUGAGAAGUAAAACUAGGUCAAGAAUCAAAGGAAGGACCCAAGGGUCCCAGUUAGGUCAGGGAGAUUAAGAACAAGGGAGUCUAAUGAAUAUUGCCUCCCACAGCUUGCUUGUGUCUUAUCAGUUUUCUUUCUUCAUUCAUUUUGUUUUCUUUUCUUUUGUUGUUGUUGUUUUAUGUCUGUAUUUGUUUAUUGCGUAUUGUGACUCUUCCCUGAAUCAAUGCAGAAGUUCAGUUACACCAGGACAGUAGGCAUGAACUGGGACUAUCUGGGGCAACCCUAAAUGUAUGAUCACCUUAUUCAUCAAUUCGAUAAGUCAUGACAGCCAAAGUGGUCUUUUAGGAAUGUAAGUCAGAAUAAGUUAACCUCCUACUUAACACCUUCAAUAACUUUUCCUUAUGUUUAGGAUAAAAUCCAAACCCUUUCCUACGGCAGAUAGGGCCUUGCAUGAUCUGCUCUCUGCCUGUCUCUUCAGCAUCAUCCUAUGUUACCCUCUGUUCUGAGUUUCUUGAGCACAACCAGACUUUCUCCCACUCGCCCAUAGGCCUUCAAACAUUUGUUCUCUCUGCUCCUGAAUCUACACAACCUUUUGCAUAAUAAGCUUUUUCUUUACAUCCCAGGUAAAGGUUAACUUUUCAAAAGACUUUCCUUCACCACUCUAUCUGAAGUAGAUUUUCCCCCGUUAAGUCUUUAUUAUUAUACCUUCUUUUUAUUUCUUAACAGUUAUCCCAAUUUGGAUUUUUUUAUUUCUUUUCUUAUCUGGUCUUCCUCAAUUGGGUGUACGUUCCAUGACAGCAUGAACCAUGUCCAUCUUACUCACCACUAUUUAUAGUCCUUCAUUAGAUACUGCUUAAGUGAAUAAUUGUAUAUGUGGUGAAACUAUAAGAAUAAAUAAGAACAGAGAGCCAGCCUGGAUGUGGUUCAUAUUUUAAAAGUUGGAAGAAGAGCCCUCAAAGAAAAUAAAUGGUAGAAAGGCAAGCAGGAGAUCAGGGAUAAUGUAGAAUCUCAGAAACCAACGUGAGUAUGGAAAUGGAGGGAGUUGUAUUUUGUUGUUGUUGUUUUUAUUUAUUUAUUUAUUUUUUAGACAGAGUCUAGCCCUGUCGCCCAGGCUGAGUGCAGUGGCACAAUCUCAGCUCACUGCAACCUCUGCCUGCUAGGUUCAAACAAUUCUGCUGCCUCAGCCUCCCAAGUAACGGGAUUACAGGCGCCCACCACCAUGUCCAGCUAAUUUUUGUAUUUUUAGUAGAGACAGGGUUUCACCAUGUUAGCCAGGCUGGUCUCAAACUCCUGACCUCGUGAUCCACCCACCUUGGCCUCCCGAAGUGCUGGGAUUAUAGAUUUGAGCCAUGGUACCCAGCUGGAGGGAGUUUUUAAUGCUACCUCGGUGAGAAUGAGAGCAGGGCCCAGAAAGGAAGCUGGAUGGUCACACUAGGAGGCAUGAUGAAUCAGAAGCAAUUCAAGAGGCCCUUCAUGACAGGAGAUGGAAAAUAAAAUAGCAAUUAAUUUAGUCUUGUUUAUAUGUUACUGAUUUAUUUCAGAAAAGAAAACAUUUUGCCAAAAGGAUGCCAUGAGAUAAACCUAUGUAGAACGUGAAAUAAAUAUUUCUUUUUGUGUUCUGUAAAAGUAGAAAGUAAAGUUUAGGUAAUUGUACAACAGUAUUCCAUUCAAACUAAGUAUUUCUCAGAUGGAAAGAAAGAGCCAGCAAUAUGAAUGAGGCAGGAGAAAGAUGCAAACUGGGUUUUAGCAUUUGACAAAGGAGUAGAGUAGGUCAGUUGUGGCAAGGUCUCUUACCAUGGGACUUAUUUUUCUAAUUAGUAAAAUGAGGAAAGUUGAAGAAAUUGAUCUUAAAGUCAACUUUUGGUUCUAAUGUUCUAUGAAUCUUUUUCAGCUGCUCUUAUUGCUCAAAGACAAUACAUUAGAGCAGAAAACUGAAGCAGAUCUUUUGUAGUCAUCCUUUGAAUGCUCACUUAUCAUUUCAUUCAUUCUUAGGAUUCAGUUAGAAUUUACUUCCCUAUGUUAUGCAUGUGGCAAUUAACACCCACCACCAUUUUUGUUGAAAACUUCAUGCUGCUUAAUAAGUGGGCAUAGGUUAGUUGUUGUCCGUAGAUUAGAAUCUAAGUCUCUUUGCUAUAGGGCCCCGUCUCUCCAGCUUCAUAAACCCAAUGCUUGAUAAACAGUGCUAAGCAGUGGGAUGUGGGAUCCAGAUAUCUGUGCAAUUUAGCCAGCAGGUGGGUUGGAGAACAUGUAUAGUAUAUGGUGUGAAAGAGGGAGGGCACUGGUCAGGCUGCCUAGUGUUCUGUUGAAUGAACACCCAGUAAUCUUUUUUAUUCAUUUCAUAUACCCUCACUAUUUUUUCUAAUAUAAGAGAAAGGGCCAGGUACAGUGGCACAUGCCUGUAAUCCCAGCAUUCUGAGAGGCCAAGGCAGGAGGAUCACUUGAGGCCAAGAGUUCAAGGCUGGCCUGGACAAUAUAGCAAGACCCCAUCUCUUAAAAACAACUUUUUUUUUAAACUAGCCAAGUGCAGUGGCACGCACUUGUUGUCUCAGCCACUCUGGAGACUGAGGCAGAAGGAUCACAUGAUCCCAGGAGUUCAAGACUGCAAUAAACUAUGGUCGCACCCUGCAGUGCAGCAUUGGUGACAUAAAAAAUUAUUAAACUUAGUGGUGCUUUGUUGUGAACAUUAAUGAUAUGAUAAAGGCUUACAUGUACUGAACACUUACUGUGUUACCCGUAUAUAGUUCUGAUGUCUUUAUGUCUACUUUCUUUUAAUCUGCAUAAUGCUAUUUUGUAGAUAUUAUUAUUCCCAUUUUAUAAAUUUGAAACUGAGGCACUGAAAAGUGAAGAGAGGCUUCCCUAGGAUCACACACAUAGUAAAUAUAGAGCCAAGAAGUUAUUUUCUCUUUACCUAACAUGUUACCUAAAAGCCUCUGAAGUUACUGAGAUUUCCAUCAAGAGUUUUUCAAAGAUUGUGUUAUCUACUAACAAUGGGAUAUUGUGGUAAGAGUAUUGAGACAUUUCUAGUCUCUAUACAUUUCUAGUUAUUUAACUUCAGCAUGUGAAAAGAAGGCAUCACCAGUUACUAAAGAAAGAGUACCUUUACUUGUGGAUGCAUUCUUUUCUGGAAAAUAUAAAAGCUAGUUCUAUGUUAAGAAAACUGUGUUCAUUAAUUAAGUUUUAUUCUUUGCUAUAAAUAAUUAGCUCUGCUCUACAUUUAGAUCAUUGUAGUACAAAUCAGUUUCCUCUUACGUAAAUAUAGCUCUUAAAAUGUUUGAGGACAUCAGUUUCAUCUUGUUCUUCUCUUUUUUAGGCUAUGUCCUUCUUUCUUUUUUUACUUCUCUUAAUAUUGAUUCCUUUCCAGUAUAUUUAUGUUUCUCAGAAAAGUGGCAUCCAGAACUGGACUUGAUGUUCCAAUUAUGAUACAAAAAAUGUGGUGGUAUUACUGGUUUCUAUUGUCUGGAUAUUUUGUUACUGAAUUGUGACCUACCAUUACUCCUUGAUGUUUUAAAGAUAAUGCUAUCUAGACAAAUCUUCUCAUUAUUUAUAUAUUAGUGCCUCAUUAUCCUUAUAUCUGGAAAGAAGAUGAUAGUGGUGUCUACCUUGUCAAUAUUAUUCUGUUGUUUCAAGUAUUAAGUACCAUGUCUAACAAACAGUAAUCUCUCAGCCAUUAGCUAUUACUAUUUAACCAUAAGUGCAAAAUUCACCAUGUAUUUUUACUGUAUUUCAUAGAUUCAUUUUUGGCUCACUACCCUGCUUGUCAAAAUUGCUUUGAAUCUUGAUUUUUUUCAACUAUGGUAAUAGUGUUCUUCCAAACUUUGUAACAUUGAUAAGUUUUAUAAUGCCUCAUAUAAGUUUUUCUUUAUUCAAAAACAUUAGAAAAAUAUUAAGCAGUGCACAAAAUCAAAAUGGCAACAAUUUAUUUUCCUGCAGUCAAUUUAAGUUUUUAUUUUUAAGUCAUUUUGCUUGGGAAGUGUUGUUACUUAAUGGUAAUAUCAGUGUUGUAUUGUGCUUUGACAAAGUGUUUACUGCAUGUCUUUUAAAGUAAGAUUAAGUUACUUAUAAUUUUUUUUCCCCAAAAGGUAAAUAAAAUUUGAUCACUCUAAGGAAGCAGUAAUAUAGUCACUAGCAGGAGGCAAACCUUGAGUUAACAUGCCAUGAAAUGAAGGAAACAAUUAUUUAGAAAAGAAAAAAUUUAACACAUAUUAUUGUGAAGUGCUACUUUCUAUUUGGGGAGAAAUUUAAUCAAAGGUUAUCACACUACUAGUGCCAUGUUUUUCCUGCCUAGAUGGACAUCUACUAUCUGCCCCACUAAUAUGUUCCAUAGAGUGUUUAUUUGCCAUGAUAAACAUGCGAGUUCACCAGGUUUCAUCUUCUUGUGAUACUCUAUCCUGUCAUCAUCUCAGUGUCCCCAGCAGUGAUAGUCUUUAACAGAGAUAGCCCCACAGCAGUCACUAACACAGGCACACUUGGUAUAACUAUUAAUUGGGUCACAGAUUAGCUAGAUGAAUAGAGAUUAAGUAAGAUAAAUCCCUAGAAGGGGGAGAAACCCUUCUUAUUCUGUAUUUUAAAUCAAACUUCAUCAGGUUUUCUUGUCAGCGUAUCUCUGGCUGGUACUAUCUUAUGGCAACAUACACAGACUUCUCUGGGAGCACUUUUUGGAUUCAGCACUUAUUUUUACCAAAUCUGAAAAUAAACCCUGGUUUUCAGCAGAAGAAUUCCAUUUAGUAGAUAUGCAUUUGAUUUAGAAAAUAUGAUCCCGUUUAUAGCUGUGGGUAUUCUACAGAAAUAUUUUACGACAAAACACCUUUCCUUUGUGAUGAUUUGAAGAACUUCAGAAACUGAAUAAUAAUUGUACCUAAUAUUUAUUGGGCACCUACUAUGCACUGUGCAAAGUGUCUUAUGCAGAUGGUCUCACUUGAAUGUCAUAAGAAUUCUAUGAGGUAAAUUAUUAUUAUUAUUAUUAUUAUUAUUACCAUUUGCCAACUGGAAGACUGAGACAAAAGGUCUUUUACAUGUCUUCUAGAAACAGAUUUAAUAUGUUAAUUCAUUAUGAUAAAUGAGCCAAAAAUAUUAACUCUCUAAAAGCAGAAUAAGUUUAUGUGAAUAAACCAUUAAACUCUAAUGUCAUUCAGUGGCAUAAGGCAAAUUUUGUGAAAAUUGAGAGCAGUUUAGGUAGUAAAUAACAGCAGUUAACAUGUAUGAAACAAUGUAUAUUUUUUAAAGCCCUGCUACAUACUCUAUAUUAUCUCUUCUUAUCUUUGUAGCAUAACUGUAACUUUCAAUGGGAUUAGGCAGGGAGGGUGGUAAUGAAGGUCAGAGACAACAGACACGCUAGAUAGGCUGACCAGAAUGACAGCUAAAAAGAGCACGACGACCUGGAUUUCUCCUUAAUAAAUCCACCAUGGAAGUUAUCUCAGAGAGCCAACUUCUAAAACAUUUCUUGGAAAACAUUCCAUCAACCCACAAAGAAGUUUCAAACAGAUAACGAUUUGAGGUUAGUGGAUAGAAUCUUAGUCAAUUUCCUGGGAAGGGGGGCACUUCAGUUCUAAUAGCUGUGGAUUGGGUUAAAGAUAUGUAAGUAGCAGAGUAAUCUGGAUGUGAGAAGGGGAUCUUGAGGUUUGGUGGGAAGAAAGGGGCCCAGAAGCUGUGGUUUUUGUAGUGCACUGGCAGAGUCACCUGUGACCUUGAGAAAGGAAAUUACAAACACCUGCUACACUUCAAACUCCGCUACCCACAUGCCACACACAGCUGCUUGAAGAAAAGGAGUGAAGGAAUGAGAAGGUGAUUAUAAGUAUCACCCAAGAAUGAGGUGAUGGGGCUGUUUCACCUCUUCCUUGAGAUCUACUUGGUAAGCUCACUGUACACACCUUUCAGCUAAUGUUCAAGCAUGAAAAACUGUCCAGUUGAUAUACUAAUCUUAAUUCUUUUCUUUCUCCAUUUUACUAGAAAAAAAAUCUUUAUAAUCCAUACUGUUACUAUUUGGUAAUUUAAAGAACCUAAAAAUAAGCACAGCUCAGUAAAACUCCCGUCUUCCCCAGAACCUUCAAGGGGCCUUUCCACUUUAGUUUUUUGUCAUUGGUACUACCAGCCAUUUGGUCUUAUGCACAACACCCUGGUUCACUAUGUUAAGUUAAGCUGGUUCGUUGCUUUCUCCCUUGGUUGUAUUUCCAUAGUCUAACCUCUUUUGUCCGUUUCCAUGGCCAGGAUCAAGGUUGUCUUCUCUGACAUGGAGAGUUAUGGUCUCCUUCUCUGUAUUUUUGCUCACACUCUUGCUUUAUUUGUCAUAACCAACUAUACUUCCUUUAACAAUCAUUUCCAUGAUGUUCUUUUUUUCUAACAGCUUUAUUUGUAUAUAAUUCACAUGGCAUAAAAUGCACCCUUUUAAAGUGUACCAUUCAGAGAGUUUUAAUAUAUUUUUAGAGUUAUGCAGCCACCACUUCUAUCUAAUUUUAAAACAUUCAUUGCUCCCUAAAAGAAAUCCCAUACUGAUUAGCAAUGAUCCCUUCCACUUAUUCUCCCCUAACAACUACUAAUCAACUUUCCAUCUCUAUGGGUUUACCUAUUCUGGAUGUUUUAUAUAAAUACACUGUGCAGCCUUUUGUGUCUGGCUGUUUUUACUUAGCAUAAUGUUUUCAAGGUUAAUCCAUGUUGUUGCAUGCAUCAGAAUUUCAUUCCUUCUGAUGAUCAAAAAUAAUAUCUAGUAUAUAGAUAUGCCACAUUUUUUAUCUAUUAAUUCACCCAUGGACAUUUGGGUUGCUUCCAUUUUUAGCUAUCAUGAAUAUUAUUCUGUGAGCAUUCAUGUUCAGGUUUUUGCAUGGACAUAAGUUUUCAGUUCUCUAGGGUAUAUAUUUAGGAGUAGAAUUGCUACAUCAUAUGGUAACUCCGUUUAGCCUUUUGAGGAACUGGCAAACUGUUUUCCAAAGCAACUGAACCACUUUACAAUCCCACUACAUGAAUGGGAGUUGCAACUUCUCCACAUCCUAAUUUGUGACUGAUUUUUUUGUUAUAGCUAUCCUAGUGGAUGGGAAGUGAUACCUCAUGAUUUUCAUUUGCAUUUCCCAAUGACAACAAUGUGAGCAUCUUCUGAAGUGACAUUUGUAUAUCUUCUUUGGAGAAAUGUCUAAUUCAGAUUCUUUGUUCAUUUUCUAAUUGCAUAAAUUAUAAUUAUGUUUUAUUAUAUAAUUAUGUAAACUAGAUUUGUGUGUGUGUGUAUGUGUGUGUUACUCAGAACUUAUCUUACCAAACCUAGAAAUAAUUUUUGGUUUUCAGAAAUGGAAUUGAAGUAGGCUUCCUCUGCCUAUGGACUAGACAUUCUUUAUUUCUGUAGUUUCCUAAUAAACUUGCUUUCACAUUACUCUAUGGAUUCUCCUCUAAUUCAAAAACAAAAAUGGAAAAGAAAGAAAAAAGGAAGGAAGGAAGGGAGGGAGGGAAAGAAAGAAAAAGGGAGGGUUGAAGUUAACAAAUCUAUAUUCAGUUUAUAUUUGGUUUGGAAAAUAUGGUCACAUAGCUGUAGGCAUUCUACAGAAAACAUCAUUCCUUGUUAAUAUUCAAAUAACUUGGGAAUUUAAUAAAAAUUCUACCUAACUCUUAUCGAGUAUCUAAUAUGUGCCAGGCAUAUAGUAUAUAAAUAUACCUAUGUAGUAUAUAAAAAUAAACUGUAAAAUUUUAUAAAAUAUAUACAUUUGAUGUAAAUAUAUUUAUGUUAUCUUUAUCUAAUUAAGUUAACCUGUUUAUUAUUGACUUGUAAGAAUUACUUGGAUAGUCUGGAUACAAGUCUCUUACUAGAUACAUUCAGCCCUCUGUAUUUGUAGGUUCUGCAAUCACAGAUUCAACCAACUACAAAUGGAAAAUAUUUGCAAAAAGUAACAAUGUGAAAAGAAAAAUAGUAUAAACAAAAAAUAGUAUAACAACUAUUUACAUGGCAUUGACAUUGUAUUAGGUAUUAUAAGUAAUCUGGAGAUUAAUUAAAGUAUAUUCAAGGAUUGUGUAAGUUGUAUGCAAAUACUAUUUUAUACAAGGGACUUGAACAUCCGCAGAUUUUGAUAUCCAGGGUGGUUCCUGGAACCAAUCCUCCAAGGGUACUGAAGGUUGACUGUAUAUAAUUUGCAAGUAUUUUCUUCCAUUCUGUAGGUUGUCUUUUCUCUCUCUUGAUCAUAUUCUUUGACACACAACAUUUUUUAGAUUUUGAUAAAGUUCAGUUUGCUUGUUUAUUUUGUCACUUUUACCUAUGAUGUUAUGUCUAAGAAACUGCCUGAUCUGAAGAUUGACUCUCAAAUUUUCUUAUGAGGGUUUUAUAUAUUUUGCUUACCUUUAAGCUCUAUAAUCCAGUUUGACUUUAUUUUUAUAGACGGUAUGAGUUAAGGAUCCAACUUCAUUCUUUUGCAUUUAGCUAUUGUUGAAAAAACAAUAGCUAAAUGUUUUGUUUUUCCAUUUAAUGAUCUUGGCACCCUUGUUGAAAAUCAGUUGACCAAAAAUGUAAGAGUUUAUAUUUGGACUCUGAAUUUUUUUGCAUUGAUCCAUACACACGCCUGUUCUACAGUCAGCAUUACACUGUUUUAAUUACUGUACCUCUGGAGAAGUUUUAAAAUCAGGGUAUGACCUCCAACCUUGUUCUUUUUCUAGAUUGUUUUGGCUCUUCUAGAUCCCUUGCAUUUCCAUAGGAUCACCUUCUCAGCUUUUUUUUUUUUCUUUUUAAAAAAAGAAAAAAACUGCAUGGAAUUCAUAGAUUAAAUUGUGAAAACAUUAAAUCUUCCUAGUCUUUUAGCAUGGGUCUUUUCAUUUAUUUAGGUCUAAGUUUUUUUCAAUGGUGUUUUGUGGUUUUCAGUGUAUAUGUCUUAGUGUUUAUUUGUUAAAUUUAUUUUUGUGCCAUUGCAAACGGAAUUGGUUUUAUAUUUAGAUUGUUCAUUACUCAGGUAAAGAUGUUCAUUGCUUGGAUAUAGAAAGGUAAGUGGUUUUGUAUAUUGGUCAUGUAUCCUGUGACCUUUUUGAAUUUGUUUAUUAGUUCUAACAGGUUCUUCUGGGUUUGUUUGUUUUUUUUUAGAUUUCUUUUUUGUGGAGCAGGGGUCAGUUCUUUGAAAUUGUCUGCAUAUUCUGCUAAUAGAGAUAGUUUUACUUCUCCUUUCCAAUCUGGGUGCCUUGUUUUCUUUUCUUGCCUAAUUUUUCCAGUUAGAACCUCCAGUACAAUGUUGAAGUGGUGAGAAUGAAGGUCCCUGUCUUUUUCCUAAUCUUAGAAGGUAGUGGCUCUUUAUGACUACACAGCGAAUCGAUCAGAUGAACUAACCAUCCAUCGCGGAGACAUUAUCCGAGUGUUUCUCAAAGAUAAUGAAGACUGGUGGUAUGGCAGCAUAGGAAAGGGACA